GAUUUCCCAUUUCUUCGGAAAGUAAGAUCCCUGAAAGAUGAUCAGGUAGAUAGGUUUGGAGUGGAAGUGUAGCGAUACAUGGAGCGGACAAAUACUAAUCGAUCGAGGACUUAACCAAAA
rnacentral:rRNA from 2 species